rnacentral:rRNA from 1 species
AGUGAACGCUGGCGGUAGGCCUAACACAUGCAAGUCGAACGGCAGCACAGGAGAGCUUGCUCUCUGGGUGGCGAGUGGCGGACGGGUGAGGAAUACAUCGGAAUCUACUCUGUCGUGGGGGAUAACGUAGGGAAACUUACGCUAAUACCGCAUACGACCUACGGGUGAAAGCAGGGGACCUUCGGGCCUUGCGCGAUUGAAUGAGCCGAUGUCGGAUUAGCUAGUUGGCGGGGUAAAGGCCCACCAAGGCGACGAUCCGUAGCUGGUCUGAGAGGAUGGUCAGCCACGCUGGAACUGAGACACGGUCCAGACUCCUACGGGAGGCAGCAGUGGGGAAUAUUGGACAAUGGGCGCAAGCCUGAUCCAGCCAUACCGCGUGGGUGAAGAAGGCCUUCGGGUUGUAAAGCCCUUUUGUUGGGAAAGAAAUCCAGCUGGCUAAUACCCGGUUGGGAUGACGGUACCCAAAGAAUAAGCACCGGCUAACUUCGUGCCAGCAGCCGCCGCCG